UUGCUAGCUUGCUAAUAAUUCUCUAGUGGCGCACGGGUGAGUAACACGUGAGUAACCUGCCCCCAAGAGUGGGAUAGCCCCGGGAAACUGGGAUUAAUACCGCAUAAAAUCGCAAGAUUAAAGCAGCAAUGCGCUUGGGGAUGGGCUCGCGUCCUAUUAGUUAGUUGGUGAGGUAACGGCUCACCAAGGCGAUGACGGGUAGCCGGUCUGAGAGGAUGUCCGGCCACACUGGAACUGAGACACGGUCCAGACACCUACGGGUGGCAGCAGUCGAGAAUCAUUCACAAUGGGGGAAACCCUGAUGGUGCGACGCCGCGUGGGGGAAUGAAGGUCUUCGGAUUGUAAACCCCUGUCAUGUGGGAGCAAAUUAAAAAGAUAGUACCACAAGAGGAAGAGACGGCUAACUCUGUGCCAGCAGCCGCGGUAAUACAGAGGUCUCAAGCGUUGUUCGGAAUCACUGGGCGUAAAGCGUGCGUAGGCGGUUUCGUAAGUCGUGUGUGAAAGGCGGGGGCUCAACCCCCGGACUGCACAUGAUACUGCGAGACUAGAGUAAUGGAGGGGGAACCGGAAUUCUCGGUGUAGCAGUGAAAUGCGUAGAUAUCGAGAGGAACACUCGUGGCGAAGGCGGGUUCCUGGACAUUAACUGACGCUGAGGCACGAAGGCCAGGGGAGCGAAAGGGAUUAGAUACCCCUGUAGUCCUGGCAGUAAACGG
rnacentral:rRNA from 1 species